UGGGCUUCGAAAUGUAGUGGAAUGAGGUAGAAAUAUCUCCGUCUCGCAAGAGACUGCUAUAUAGGUGCUGCAUGGCUGUCGUCAGCUCGUGUCGUGAGAUGUUGGGUUAAUCCCGNAACGAGCGCAACCCUUAUCUUUAGUUGCCAUCAGGUCAAGCUGGGACACUCUAACGAAACCGCCUCGGAUAACGGGGAGGAAGGUGGGGAUGACGUCAAGUCCUCAUGGACUUUAU
rnacentral:rRNA from 1 species